GGGUGCUUGAGACUGUUUGUCUCAGGUAUUCACCGAAAGGCAGACAGAGAAAAGCCCCACCUGACUAUAAAUCAAAGUUGGAAAUCAACACAGGAGGCUGGGAAUG
rnacentral:antisense_RNA from 1 species